rnacentral:rRNA from 1 species
GAUGAACGCUGGCGGCGUGCUUAACACAUGCAAGUCGAACGGUGAAAGCGGAGCUUGCUCUGCUGGAUCAGUGGCGAACGGGUGAGUAACACGUGAGCAAUCUGCCCCUGACUCUGGGAUAAGCGCUGGAAACGGCGUCUAAUACCGGAUACGAGCUGCGAAGGCAUCUUCAGCAGCUGGAAAGAACUUCGGUCAGGGAUGAGCUCGCGGCCUAUCAGCUAGUUGGUGAGGUAACGGCUCACCAAGGCGUCGACGGGUAGCCGGCCUGAGAGGGUGACCGGCCACACUGGGACUGAGACACGGCCCAGACUCCUACGGGAGGCAGAAGUGGGGAAUAUUGCACAAUGGGCGAAAGCCCGAUGCAGCAACGCCGCGUGAGGGACGACGGCCUUCGGGUUGUAAACCUCUUUUAGCAGGGAAGAAGCGAAAGUGACGGUACCUGCAGAAAAAGCGCCGGCUAACUACGUGCCAGCAGCCGCCGUAA